rnacentral:rRNA from 1 species
GAAACGGGUGGGCCCUCGAAAUCCUGUGGCGGGAGGAUUCAGUCGGGCGGAGCCAGGCGCGCAGAGAGACCGAUUGAGCGGACCCCUGGAUGGAGGACGCGUCUGUCGCGCACGGAUGCCUGGCACAUCCGACGCAUUUCCUUCCGCACUGAGGACGCCGCAGCCGUUCGGGUUUCGCCCAAAGUCGGCCAUGAGGGUGGACGUCGGAAGGUUGCCGGUCUUCGGAUCGGUUGAUAGCCUGUCCACGCGUGGCACGACACCCGAACGAGGCUACAAGCGGGCCCCCAACGCGGGCCCCUGCCGUUCCUUUCCCAUCACGGGGCAGAGAGCGAAAGCGGCAAGCGCGAGGUGAUCAUCGCGAAGACUCAGCCCUGAGUGCUGUGCGUCGCGACGCCUUCGCUGAUGGCUUGCUUACGUCCCACGAGGGAGCCGGGAGGCUUGCGGCGAGAAAGUCGGUCACCCACCCGACCCGUCUUGAAACACGGACCAAGGAGUCUAACGUGUGCGCGAGUCAAGGGGUCUUGAACAGGCCCAGGGGCGAAGUGAAGGCGUGAGCCGUCCCUCUCGUUGGGGUCGGCCGUCCUCACAGGUCGGGAUCCCGAGUCCAAGGGCUCGGGCGCACCGACGGCCCGUGCCAAUACCGAGAAAUCGGUGGUUCGGAGCUAGAGCGCAUGCGCUGGUACCCGAAAGAUGGCGAACUAUGCCAGGGCAGGACGAAGUCGGAGGAAACUCUGAUGGAGGUUCGUAGCGGUUCUGACGUGCAAAUCGAUUGUAAGACCUUGGUAUAGG